AUGCAGGGACAUUCRGAGGCUUCAGGAAGCCGUCGUGGAGGGUUAGGAUGGGACGUGCCUACGGAGUCCGAAAGUGCCUGGCUUGUUCCCAGCCAUCAGCCCUUCAUGCUCUGGGCUUGCAAACAGGCAGCGCUGGCUGCUCCUGCUGCCGGGCGAGAACAUCAAGCCCUAGCGCGAGCAGGCUGCAUCCCCUACCGAAUGCUGCAACGGAGCUGCACUAGCAGAAAGGGUCCCUCACUUCAUGCCCACUUUGAUCCCCGCAGUUGCAGCCCCUCUGAUCCCUGUGCCAUCCAGCUGGGCUGUUUCAGUCACCUCCCCYGGGACACUUGUUUUCUACCAGGUUCCUCCUUGGGUCUACAAGAACCUCUUUCYUCACCUCCAGCUUGGCCAAGCGUCCUGUAAUUGAGAGCCAGCGUGAUCAAGCUAGAUUUGUGGAUCGAGGACGCACGCGUGAACGAAACGGCGCUCACCGCCUGGCUGCGUUCGUUAUCUCUGCGGCCGCCAGCGAGGGCCGGCGUUAUCGCUGAAAUCCUGUCCCUCCCCGAUAAAGGCUCUCGGCAGAGAAAACGUGGCUGCAGAGAUGCAGGCAAAGCCCUCCAUCUUCGAGCCUGCGUGGAAAACCCGCUGUUGGAGGGAGGAAGAGCAGAUUCAUGCCCCCAGAAAGAGCUCCUGAACGUGGCUGGAGCCUACAGGAGGUAGCGCUGGUUUCGCCACGCAGGAUUUCCAAAGGGGGCUGGGGAGAGGCACCUGGGUCCUCCACGGCUGCCGGGAACUUGCUGGGGGCUCUCGUUUACUUCUUGCUGCCUUGCCCACGCUUCUGUUUCUAGCUGUGUCCAUCUUAGCUGUCGAAUGACUAAGGAUUUCAGCGCAUCGAUCCGCUCUGUUGUGGAGACUCGCAAAAUACCAGUCAGCAAUAAAGAUGCAUAAAAGCAAUAAAUUCCCA
rnacentral:lncRNA from 1 species